rnacentral:rRNA from 1 species
GACGAACGCUGGCGGCGUGCUUAACACAUGCAAGUCGAACGGGAUCCAAAGGCUUUUUGUUUUUGGUGAGAGUGGCGAACGGGUGAGUAACACGUGAGUAACCUGCCCCCUUCUUUUGGAUAACCGCAUGAAAGUGUGGCUAAUACAGGAUAUUCCAGGCUGGUCGCAUGAUUGGUUUGGGAAAUGGUUUGGUCUGGUGGGGGAUGGGCUCGCGGCCUAUCAGCUUGUUGGUGGGGUGAUGGCCUACCAAGGCGGUGACGGGUAGCCGGCCUGAGAGGGUGGGCGGUCACACUGGGACUGAGAUACGGCCCAGACUCCUACGGGAAGCAGCAGUGGGGGAUUUUGCACAAUGGGCGCAAGCCUGAUGCAGCGACGCCGCGUGAGGGAUGAAGGCCUUCGGGUUGUAAACCUCUUUCGCUGGGUUGAAAGGCCAUGCUUUGGGUGUGGUUGAUUUGAACUGGUAAAGAAGUACCGGCUAACUACGUG